rnacentral:rRNA from 1 species
UACGGGGGGGGCAAGCGUUGUCCGGAAUCAUUGGGCGUAAAGAGCGUGUAGGCGGCUCGAUAAGUCUGCUGUGAAAGUCCAGGGCUCAACCCUGGAAGGCCGGUGGAAACUGUCGGGCUAGAGUCCGGAAGAGGCGAGUGGAAUUCCCGGUGUAGCGGUGAAAUGCGCAGAUAUCGGGAGGAACACCAAUUGCGAAGGCAGCUCGCUGGGACGUUACUGACGCUGAGACGCGAAAGCGUGGGGAGCAAACAGG